GCAAGAUGAUGCUUCUCUGGGGCUGUGUGAAGAGCAAAGCUUCCCUCAUCACUGAUAUCAGCUGCUCUGGCCUUGCCCACGUUGCCAGAGGAAGUCUGGUUGUUCAGUAUCUCCCCCACUGCCUGGUCUCUGGUAUCACCACAGCUUCUUCAGGACCCCACAGCUUCUACCCAUGCAGGUACAAGAGUCUCCCAGAGGCCUCCUUUGCUCCAUUGCCUUUCCUCAUUUCCUGCACUGGUUUUCUCUCUGCCCUCCUUGCUGCUCUGUCUAAUGGCAUGCUCUUUCCUACUGAAUGAGGCACUCCAUGUCCUUACCCAGCCUCCUGUGCCUCACCUUCCCUCCCUAUCCCCAUCUGUGCCCUAGGCACUUUAUGUCUCCCAAAAAAGUAUCCAAGCCCCUUAACACUUGCCCUUGGCAUCACGCCAAACAAAAGUCUCACUGGGAUAAAUCAGAGAAAAAACAGCCCCAAAGCAAGGCUUAAAUAAGUAGUUACAGGAGCUGGGGUCCAGUGGGGCUAUGUCCACCCUGUUCACAGCUUUUCCCUAUCUCCCUCCCUCAUCCUUCCUAUUUCUUCCCUGCACCCCUCUCUGCGUGCCGAGUCUGGGGUUCAGCUCCGUGCAGGCCCGGCUGAGGCAGCAACACCCCUCGAAACGGCGGCCCAGGGUGGGCCGAGGCAGGGGAGCCGGGAUGUCCCUCUGUCCCCGCGGCGGGCGAAGCGCGGGCCUGCAGGGACCCCUGGUGGCGGCCGGGAGCCGGGGGACCUUCGGGGUGAGCCCUGCAUCCCGCGGAGCAGGAGACUGCCUGCAUCCUGGGAGCUGCCACGCUGGAAUCUUACAGCAACGAGGGGGCUCCUACCUACAGCAUCCCCAGCAGCCGCAGCUCCUCCUCUUCUGCCGCAAGAAGAAGGGGAACAAAGGACUUAUUUUUCCCCUGGGCUGGAUGAAGAGUCAGGGAGAGUCCUUGAGUUCGAGCACCCACUGGAGGAUGGGUUGGACCUCCUGA
rnacentral:lncRNA from 1 species